UGGGGAACCUGCCCCAUAGUCUGGGAUACCACUUGGAAACAGGUGCUAAUACCGGAUAAGAAAGCGGAUCGCAUGAUCAGCUUUUAAAAGGCGGCGUAAGCUGUCGCUAUGGGAUGGCCCCGCGGUGCAUUAGCUAGUUGGUAAGGUAAAGGCUUACCAAGGCGAUGAUGCAUAGCCGAGUUGAGAGACUGAUCGGCCACAUUGGGACUGAGACACGGCCCAAACUCCUACGGGAGGCAGCAGUG
rnacentral:rRNA from 1 species